UGGGGAAUUUUGGACAAUGGGCGAAAGCCUGAUCCAGCCAUGCCGCGUGCAGGAUGAAGGCCUUCGGGUUGUAAACUGCUCUUGUACGGAACGAAAAGACUCUGGUUAAUACCUGGGGUCCAUGACGGUACCGUAAGAAUAAGCACCGGCUAACUACGUGCCAGCAGCCGCGGUAAUACGUAGGGUGCAAGCGUUAAUCGGAAUUACUGGGCGUAAAGCGUGCGCAGGCGGUUAUAUAAGACAGAUGUGAAAUCCCCGGGCUCAACCUGGGAACUGCAUUUGUGACUGUAUAGCUAGAGUACGGCAGAGGGGGGAUGGAAUUCCGCGUGUAGCAGUGAAAUGCGUAGAUAUGCGGAGGAACACCGAUGGCGAAAGGGCAAAUUCCCCUGGGCCUGUACUNACGCUCAUGCACGAAAGCGUGGGGAGCAAACGGAUUAGAUACCCUGGUAGUCCACGGCCCUAAAACGAUGUCAACUGGUUGUUGGGUCUUCACUGACUCAGUAACGAAGCUAACGCGUGAAGUUGACCGCCUGGGGAGUACGG
rnacentral:rRNA from 1 species